GAUGAAGAACGCAGCGAAAUGCGAUAAGUAGUGUGAAUUGCAGAAUUCAGUGAAUCAUCGAAUCUUUGAACGCACAUUGCGCCCCUUGGUAUCCCGAGGGGCAUGCCUGUUCGAGCGUCAUUUCACCACUCAAGCCUGGCUUGGUGUUGGGCGACGUCCCCUUUGGGGACGCGCCUCGAAACGCUCGGCGGCGUGGCACCGGCUUUAAGCGUAGCAGAAUCUUUCGCUUUGGAAGUCGGGGCCCCGUCUGCCGGAAGACCUACUCGCAAGGUUGACCUCGGAUCAGGCAGGGAUACCCGCUGAACUUAAGCAUAUCAAUAAGCGGAAGA
rnacentral:misc_RNA from 1 species